rnacentral:lncRNA from 1 species
UCUAAGAGAUCCAUCUUUCAUUCAACCUGGUUGCGGACGUAUAAGUAAGACACUUCCGAACCUCCAAUUUUUUUUUUCACAAGCUCUAAAAGAUGUAUCUUUCAUCCAACUUGUCUGGAAAUUUCCACAAGCUCACACUUAUUUUAAAAGAAGAGAAAUAUAAAUAUAAGUAGAACAAACAUGGAGAAAAUGCUUUCAUAAUAAUCAUUUAAUACCUAUGUAGGAACCGAAUCCUAGUAGCUACCCAAUAUAAUUAUAUUACCACCUGAGAGCAUACCUUUACAAAGCACAAUUAAUUGAGAACACGAGAUCCUUCAGCUCUAAGAAAAGUUUAACGACAACAAAUUCUGAAUGAUAAGUGGAAGUCCUAAGUAAGUUACUUAUUUCCAAAAAAAUAGUAAAAGACCAAAAUUAGUUUUUUGAUAAUAGGCGUAAUACAAAAUGCUUCUAUAAUAACCAUUAAAGCAGACGAAGCACUUAGCAGAAUAGACAAAGAUAUAGUAAGUCCAAAAGAGGAAGAAGACAUAGUAGAAAAGGUUGCAGGAACUUUUAAAGGAACAUAAGAACAACUUCAUCCAUAAACAAAACUCGGUUUUCCAUGUGCACCAGAACCGCGGGAUGAUAUUUCAAUUAGAGUAGGUUCCAAUUCUUUACUUGAAAAAGUGGUGAGGUUCAGUAAACUUAAAUUCAUGAUUUCCUCACAAUCUCUGUACAAAUAAAUGAAGGCGAGAUUACAAUAAUAACUAUGUGUUAUUCCUAAAUAAGUUAUAAUUGAGCAAAAAAUAUACCUUGUGUGAGGAGAAAUCUUCCUAGUGUUAAUUGUAGAAGUAGAGGAAAUGGUCGAAAAGUGCUAGCUACUCGAUACUCGGUAGAAAGAUAAACAUAAUAUAAUGGCACUUUCAGCUAACGACAUAUCACAAUAUAUUUUACAUCGUUUGGUAUUCUUUUCAUAAGCCUGUUUCAUUAUGCGGGAUGUUCUUGUUUGUUCAGGAUUCAUUGCUACAGAAAGUUGGUAUAUAAAAGCGUUAGAACUCCAAUCAGUUCAACAGCUCAAUGUUGCAACAAUCUGGAAGAGUCACCGAGACAAUCACUUGUUACAAUAUUUGUAAAUUGCACAAUCA